UACAGAGGGUGCGAACGUUGCUCGGAAUUACUGGGCGUAAAGCGCAUGUAGGCUGGUCUGCAAGUCAGAUGUGAAAUCCCCGGGCUCAACCCGGGAACUGCAUCUGAAACUGCAGGCCUUGAGUACUGGAGAGGGUGGCGGAAUUCCUGGUGUAGAGGUGAAAUUCGUAGAUAUCAGGAGGAACACCGGUGGCGAAGGCGGCCACCUGGACAGUUACUGACGCUGAGAUGCGAAAGCGUGGGGAGCAAACAGG
rnacentral:rRNA from 2 species